GCUGUAGUGGGGUAGAGGUAACCUCAAUCGUUGCCAUAUAAUAUAUAGUCGAUUGGCCCCGUGUUCGAUUCACGGCUACAGCA